UAAGCUUGUUAAACACCGUGCAUAGGCUGAUAGGUCGGUAAUCCGUCCAUCGACAAGCAUUAUCCCUCUUCGGGAGCAAAACAACGGACGUAGCAAAAAAAUCUUGUGGUAAGUGGCCACCCUCAAAGCAAUCAAUAACUGCAUUGUACACAUCAUCCUGUAUAAUAUUCCAAUAGUACUGGUAGAACGAGGAUGAAAAUCCAUCUGGGCUAGCGGCACUAUCAACAUCAAUGCUAAAAAUCGCCUCCCGCACUUCAUCAAUCAAAGGGAGAUGGUUCAGUACCUUAUUAUUUGUCUCUAUUAAUAUUCUGGGUAUAAUAUCAAGAUGGAUGGGCUCCAACGAAUGUGAAGGAGCAGAUAAUAAAUCCUGAAAAAAAGAAGAGAUCGUCGAGCUCUGUAUGUCUUCUGGAGUAGAAAGGUUUUCCCUACCUAAGUCGUGAUAGUCUUGAUCCAAGAUUUAAUCUAUCGUCCUUGUACCAUUGCAUGAAAAUAUCGGGUGUUGUGAUCUCCCUCACACACCCAAUGGGAACAGGCCUUUUGCUUCCAAUAACCUUCUUCAAUAGGUAAGAUCCGAUUCAAAUCAGCCUGUGCAUGUUGGAGAUAAGCUCUUUUACUUUCCCCAAGGUCACAGGAGUAUAGACGUGCCACAUAAGAUCUGAAAGUGAAAUUCAAUUGCAUUUUUGUGUAGUUGAUGAAGUCAAAAUUAAAUGAGAAAAAAUAAUAGUUCAAAAGUGUGCAUAUGAUUACAUAUAUGGCAUGAGG
rnacentral:lncRNA from 1 species